AAGAAGUUGUAGAGUGGGCUUUAAGGUUCUCCAGAAGAGUAAAGGAUGGGAGGACCCAGCUUUUCCUUUCAUCUUCACCACAGCACAAGUGAGAACACAGAGCAUGGACUGGCACACUCAAAUAGCUGACGGGCUUUUUGGGUGGCUAGACAGAUACUUUGAAACAGAACAACCCAAUAUCAUAGGCAGAACCUAUGACAUCCUUGCAGCAGACGGGAUGACAUCUCAUGAGAAACUGGGAGCACAGUCCUGCCUGGGCCACCGGCCAGCCCCAUCACAGUACCUGACUGAUCUGGUCGCCUGCGGUCUUAGCCAGCAGAUGUCUAGGCUCAUCGACUACCAGGUGGGUUUCACUCUGUUGCCCAGGCUGGACUGCAAGGCACAGUCAUAGCUCACUGCAACCUCCGCCUCCCAGGCUCCAUCGAUCUUCCCACCUCAGCCUCCCAAGUAGGUGGGACUACAGGUUGUACACCACCAUGCCUGGCUAAUUUACGUAUAUUUUGUAGAGAUGGGGUUUUGUCAUAUUGCCCAGGCUGGUCUCAAACUCCUGGGCUCAGGCUAUCCGCCUGCCUUGGCCUCCCAAGUGCUGGGAUUACAUGUGUGAG
rnacentral:lncRNA from 10 species